CCCUGCCCUUUGUACACACCGCCCGUCGCUACUACCGAUUGAAUGGCUUAGUGAGGCCUCCGGAUUGGCUAUUGGGAUCUCGCGAGAGAACCUGACUGCUGAGAAGUUGUACGAACUUGGUCAUUUAG
rnacentral:rRNA from 1 species